GAAAAUCAAAGAGGGACAUCUAUUGUCGUUGAGAAGUUUUGUUAGACCGAAGACUUCUAUUGAAGAAGUUAUGGCAUGAUGAGAGCGUUAGUCGUCCAUUCUGAAGGUUUAGAUGACCUGGAGCAGUCCUUGAUGUUAUACCUGAAAAGCUUGAGAAGUUCUCUUUUGAUCCACAUAAGAAUCUUUUUUCUCUUCUUCUAGCACAACAAUUGGUGGAGCACUGAAAGGAUCUCUUGCCCCUUUUGGUAAAUCUUAAUUCAAAGUAAUGUUCCGCAAGAGAUCUGGUCUGCAUAUUAUCUGAUUCGUUUUGUAUAUUGGGAACUGUAUACUGACUCGACUACACCUGCUUUACCUACUACUGAAGUUCCGCAACAAACAUUUAUGGUUUAACAAGACGGUAAUUUUGGCUACCACAAGUUAUGAAAAGACAAUAUAGAGCAUUGUUUUAUUAUACCAACUAGAUAUUGCUAACUUUUUGACCUUUAAGAUGAUACAUGUUUACUUAUAUAUGUGGAUGGAUGUGGAAUUAAAACGUUAUGGUAGAGUAAUUGAUUCUCCUCUAACUGCCCAUAUUUGACAGCUCCAGGCAGGAUAAAAUACUGCUACAAUGGUUAAAACAAAGAUGAAUUAGCAGACCACUAAGGAAAUGCAAAACCAGUUCUGUCCAAAAGAACCAAGUACCGCCUAUCAGUUGAAAACAAUCAGAUGUGAAGUGAAUUUCUCACUGAAUAAAAGAAUAAUUUGGAAUCUAAUCUAAAAUAACAAAUUGGAUGAAGGAUGAUGCUACAUAAUGUUACACUAGCAAAACUGAAGCUAUUUUAUUUUGCCAGGACAGAUUAUAUCAUUCUCAUCUUACAAAUGCAUGAGUCCUUUCCUAAAGAUACAUAACAAUAAGGUCAAUGGAACAUGGAUUGAGAAAAAAAUGCAUUAGAUAAAUUUUAGAAGUCCUCCCUGUAAAGGUGGCAGGACAUGAGAGAAGCUCAGUAGUAUUAUAUUCAAGAUAAGAAAAAGAGUUAGUCGCCUAACAGAUAAAGUUGAAUCUUCUAUUUUCCUACAAAUGAAUUCUUUCUUCCUGCACUAACUUUUAUAUAGGGAUAUUCACUAUAGAGUCAUGACUAUGAUUAGGCUUUCUAUACACGUUUCAGUUGUAUUGUAUUCGCUCAAAAUAACAGUUUCGUUUUUUUCCUCUUUUCCCCUUUUCCUGCAAUCUAUAAUAGCAUUCAGUGUGUACUGAUUCCAUAGUCACUGUGCCUUACACAAUGUGUGCAGUCUUUAACUACAAUUAUGUUAUCAAAGCUUUCAAUUCCCUUCAACUCCUUCAAAUUCAAAAUAAUAUUUGGAGUCAGUCUACUAGCAUCUAGAGUUGAAAGUGUCUUUAAAGAUUAACAAUAACCAAUUUUUCUUGAAUUGUUGAAGGUGCAGAGAACCAGUUUUGAAGAACUCCAAAGAGAUGGUGAAAGGCGUGUUUGAAUCAGAAAACAAAGAGGAAGAGAAGUGCAAAGAAUGCAAUAGUGUUGGCCGUGGGGAGUGCUUUGGAGACGCUGUGCAGACUGAUUAGUGAUGGGAAAAUACAUAUAGUUGGGGUUUACACAGUGUUUCACUCGCUCCGCAUUGGGAUACUCUGCACGAUUAGUACUGGCAGUAAGAAAUCAUCAGGCCAUUCUUUUCACAAACAACAAGGAAUUACAACGAGCCAUUGCUGACCUUGCUUGGCUUCUCGAAAUAACCAUGCUUCUUAACAGUGUUCAGCCUAUAAUAUCAGGUGUUGCUAUUGGAGGUGGAUGGCAAGGUUUAGUGGUUUAUAUCUAAUUGGGAUCUUACUAUGAUUUUUGGUAUUCCCCUAGGAUAUACUCUUGCUUAUAUGGCUAACUUGGGAGUCGUGGUAAAUAAAUUCUCAUUCUGAAAGUUGCAUAUGUAUUAAGUAUAUCAAAGUGUAAUCUCAGUCUGCAUUUGUAAGCAUCUUUUAUGGGGAACUACUGG